rnacentral:pre_miRNA from 1 species
CUACUACUCCCUCCAUCCGAAAAUACUUGUCAUUGAAAUGGAUGUAUCUAGAUAUAUUUUAGUUCUAGACACAUCCAUUUUGAUGACAAGUAAUUCCGGACGGAGGGAGUAUUAU